rnacentral:lncRNA from 1 species
GUUUAUAUCAACAAUGUUGGCUCAUUGUUGCAAUAACCUAAUAAAUCCAUGGUCAUCCAAGAGCCUUAGAUAACUAUAAAGUCCAAUUUAAAAGGAAUGCAAAAACCUUAGUAGUAGUAGUUACUUCCAAUAUUUGAAAAUUUCGUUUUUGAUAUUGAUUUGUUUUUCUUAAAACAAAUAGUGGGAGUAUCAUACGCUACUAAACUAUAAUGAAAACAAUUAGUAGUUAUAUAUAUCUCCAAUAUUUUGAAAAAAUGUUUUGAUAUUGAUUUGUUUUAUGAAAAUGAAUAGUGGGGAUAGCAUAUGCUACUAAUUUCAUUAACUUUGGACUAGUAGUUGUAAUAGGACAUUAUUUAUUUGAAUAUGAUUAAAUAAAUAAAAUUGAUGAGACCUUAAAAUCCCUCAACCAACAUACAAUAUUAAGGUGAAAGCGUAAGAGUGCUUUGAACACUUUUUCGUGGCCUUCCACCGUGGUAGGCUCCAAUCGUUUAUGACGUGUACAUCGCCUUCACCCUAUCAUGGGGGAGUGCAAAGUGCAUGCUUAUACUCAGGAAGAGUUUAUUUAAAACAUUUGAUGAGGUUAAGGUAGGCAACGAGUGUGGCCAACAUCGUAUCAUC